rnacentral:rRNA from 1 species
UAAGUGCACCGCAUGGGGACUAUCCUCGCAAGGGUGAUACUCAAAGGAAUUGACGCGGGCCCGCUACAAGCGGUCGAGCAUGUGGUUUAAUUCGAUGAUACGCGAGGAACCCUACCAGGAUCUUGCACAUACGCCGGAAUGUGCAGGAGUCUGCGCUAGCCCUUCGAGGGCCGGUAUACAGGUGCUGCAUGCCAAGUGCUCAGCUCGCACUCGUGAGGUUCUGGCUUAAGUCCCGCAACGUGCGCAACCCCUACCGUCGAGCGCCAGCAUUUAGUUGGGGACUCAGCAGGAACUGCCGGUGACAAACCGGAGGAAGGUGGGGAAGACGUCAGGUCAUCAUGGCCCUUAUAUCCUGGGCUACACACGUGCUACAAUGGCCGGUACAGAGCGAAGCUACACCGGGAAGGUAGAGCAAAUCCCAGCAAGCCGGUCUCAGUUCGGAUUGGUGUCUGCACCUCGACUCCAUGUACUUGGAUCGCUUUUAUCGCGAUCAACAUCGCGCGCGUGAUACGUUCCCGCGCAUUGUACACACCGCCCCUCACACUACACGAUGGGGGUACGCGAACUCUUG